rnacentral:rRNA from 1 species
CCCUUAGAUGUUCUGGGCCGCACGCGCGCUACACUGACGAAUGCAACGAGCUUAUAACUUUGGCCGAAAGGUCUGGGUAAUCUCCAAAUUUCGUCGUGAUGGGGAUAGAUUAUUGCAAUUAUUAAUCUUCAACGAGGAAUGCCUAGUAAGCGCAAGUCAUCAGCUUGCGUUGAUUACGUCCCUGCCCUUUGUACACACCGCCCGUCGCUCCUACCGAUUGAAUGGUCCGGUGAAGCGCUCGGACCGCGGCCUCUUGACGGUUCGCUGUCGAUUGGCUGUGGGAAGUUCGUUAAACCUUAUCAUUUAGAGGAAGGAGAAGUCGUAACA